CCGGCAUAUGGUCCAACUUUGCAUGCUACACCUGCUACUGAUUGAUUUAUGGCGCUGGGAUAGCGACAUCGCCACGCUAUUGUCUAUGGUACAGGUGCUUUUCACGAACAUUUCAUGUGUGUGGACCAGCUACUGCAGGGAACUUGAGA
rnacentral:sRNA from 1 species